AGGGACUUGCGCCAAAAUUACCUGACAGGUAGCUUGUCUGCAUCCAUUGGCAACCUAUCUCGCAUGCAAUACCUGACCGUGGGUAUUAAUGCAUUAUCGGGGGAGCUUCCAAAGGAACUGGGAAAACUUACUGAUUUGAGAUCACUGGCCUUUGGUACAAAUAACUUCUCUGGCACUCUACCGUUAGAGCUUGGG